ACAGAACCUGGACUUCUGACUGCCAGAACUGGGAGCUAAUGAAUACAUGGCACGGAGUUGGUGGGCGCCUGAGAGAGCUACUCAGCUGUGAGGUCCUUCCCCUGGACUUGAGCACAGGCCUUCUGGCUCAGGGUGCUGAGGGAUGGUGCUCCCCUGUGAGGGGGGUGCCCGGGGCACCCCAGCCUCCCUCAGGAACUCCCAGGCCCCUCAGAAGCAGGAAGUUGGGCUGACCAAAGCUGUGGUAGCUCAGCUAUAUACAUGGCCCCUCUUGACCCUUCUCUGUGAACUGAGGUGCUCUACCUGACGGCCUCUUCACCAAGGGAAAAUGCUUCAGGCAUUUGGGAGCGUGCGCCCUGAGAAGGCCUCAGCAAGUUUUUGGAGAUUGUCCUUCACAGAAACGGGGUCCCAUUAUAUUGUCCAGGCUGGUCUCAAACUCCUGGGCUCGAGUGAUCUGCCCGCCUCAGCCUCUCAAAUUGUUGGGAUUACAGGCAUGAGCCGCCGCACCCGGCCUGACGAGGCUUCUUGCUGCACUUAAAGGAAUGACAGCUAUAGAGGGCAUAUGGGACUGGAAGGCAUCGGAUCCAUAACAUCCUCACGCCUUCUGGAAAUGUGAAAAAUGUUUCACAAAAGCACAGCCUAAGGCCUCAUGUGAUGAGGUGGGCUCUCCACAAGUUCCCGGGGCAGAGUCUGAAGACCUGCUGCUGGAUAGGGGCUUCCUCCUGGUCCCCAAGGGCCCGCCCUCUCAGGCCCACCUUGAGGCCACCCUGCUGGGCCACUUCCCGGAUUUUGGACAGCAUUGAUUGGAGCCGCCCGUUCUCCUCCUGUAGGACCCGGAUGCGGAUGUCGUUGGACUGCACUUGCCUCUCCAUGUGAUCUGUGACGUUGCCAGAGUCUGUGGGACAUGUUAUCUGGGAUUCCACGCUGCUGGAUCUGCCUCCUGUGCCCAAUGGGACAGGACCUUAGAAGGGAGGCACACCAGCUUGGGCAGGUGGCCUGGAGGCACAAAGGAGCUGUGUAGUGCACCAGGCCUCCUAGCUCAUCUUCCUUCUCCCGAGGCCUUAUUCCCCCUUCCCUGUCCCCCAACCUGCAGGGAAGAUGACCAUAGUAUUAUAAAAUCUGAGAGCUGGGUGGGACCUAGAGCUCUCAAAAGACUUAGCAAGGCCGGGCGCGGUGGCUCACGCCUGUAAUCCCAGCACUUUGGGAGGCCCAGGUCAGGGGAUCAUUAAGUCAAGAGAUCAAGACCAUCCUGGCCAACAUGGUGAAACCCCGUCUCUACUAAAAAUAGAAAAAUGAGCUGGGUGUGGUGGCGGGCCCCCGUAGUCCCAGCUACUCAGGAGGCUGAGGCAGGAGAAUCACUUGAACCCAGGAGGUGGAGGUUGCAGUGAGCAGAGAUUGUGCCACUGCACUCCAGCCUGGCAACAGAGUGAGACUCUGUCUCAAAAAAAAAAAAAAAAAAAAAAAGACUUAGCAAAUAAGCAUGAGAGGAGAGUGAAUCUCUGACAAGGCCCCCCCGUUUUGGACAGGCUACAGCCAAAGUGAGCUGUCCAAGGUCACACGGCCAGCUCAAGCUUGGGAACGGCAGGAAUUCCGCCAGGCUGCUCUUCCCCUGCUUUUGUGAUGGAUGCUUCCUUCUGGCUCCAGGAGCCCGGGAGAAUUGCUGCCCCUUCUGGUUCAGUUUCCUGCUAUGGGAAAUAGCUAUGGGGCUAUGACCUGCCUCACAAGGUGGUUGAGAAGGGGACAGAAGGGCCUGGAUGAUGUCUCACGAGCAGCUAACUGCACAUCUUCCUGCCAGCUCUGCAAAAGGAUUUGCCCUAGUGCUUUAGGGGUCUGGAGGGGCUGGGAGAACCCAGGUCACCUGAUAUCCAAUCCUGUGCCAAGAUGGGUACCUAGCACUCCUAUGCCAUGGGGUCCAGGACAGUGGGCAGCUGGAGGCUGUGUCCUUGGGACUAGUCCCAUGGUGUGGUUUGGGGACCCAUUCCAAGAACCAAGAAGGGGGACACACAGAAGUCGAGCAAGAAUUAGCAUGUGACGUAGUGAAGAGCACAGGCUGUGGGGACAACCAGACCUGUGUCUGCGUUUGGCUGUUGUGACUAGAGGCAGUCACAUCACUGUUGGGCUUUCACGUCCCUGUCUAUGCAGAGUGGAUGACGCAUGAAGCACUUGCGUGCUGUGGUGGGUCCACAGGGGCUGCGCUGCUGGCCGCCUGGCUUUAACACCCUUGCUGCAGGCUAGGGAGCUGCAGUCCCCAGUGUCCUGCCCACACGAGCCCUCAGCUGCUGGCCCUGAGCCCCAGCAUGCCCUUGGCACCAUCCCCAGUCCCCUACCAUGGAUCUGGGUCUCGGUGGGCCUGUGCAGGUCUGGGAAGGCCACCAGCAGCCGCUCCCGCUCCUUCAGCUCCUCCAGCUCCCGUUCUAGCUCCAGGAUGGUUAGCCGCAGGUCCGUAGUCGCCUGCUCCAGGCCUUGCUUCUCCCUCUGCAGGCUCUGCAGCAGCUCCUGGGACAGACGGAGGCUCAGGCCUGGCUCCUGAGUGAGCUACAUGGUACUCAGCGCCCUGGGGCACCGUCCCUACCCAAGAAAAGACAUGGGACAGGCCUGCAGGCACUCAGUUGGCCGGAGACUUCUCUGGCAAAAAGGAAGACCCCCACCCUCACCUGCUGGGCCCUGAGCUGGCAUUGCCCCUGCUCCCGCUCGCUCUGCAGCUGCUCCUCCACGCGGGCCCGCUGGGCCUCAGCCUCGUCCAGGCUGCCCCGCAGCUCCUCACGUUCCUGGUCCAGGCUGUCCAGCUGCUUUAGCAGGGCUCGCUGCUUGGCCUGCAGAGACUAAGCAGGAACGGACAAGCAGGGAGGCUGUGAGACCCACAGGGCUAGGCCCAGCCAUGUGGAACUAAGGAGGCUACAGCAUCUACUACCCCUCGGCUGCUACCCCCCUGGGGUGUGUGUCUGUGUCUAGGGAAUGCUGGUCACAUGCGUGGAAGGGUAGGGGUCGGGGGAAGCUGGCAGCAGGCAGAUGCACACCGGACCUGGUCAAGGCCAGGAUCCCAGCUUGAAGACCCCGGCCCUUGGAACGCAGAUGGCUGGCUCUGGGGGUCUCACCCCCACUUCCUUCCAGUCAUACACAGACCCCACUUGGAGAGGAAUUCUGGGAACUAAGUUUUUCUUCUCCUCGGGUCUCCAGUGUCACAUCAUCCCAUGUUGCUGAAGCCCACAUUUCCUAACACCCACUGAAUGGAAAGCAGGAAGAACUAACGCUGGACUGCUCGGAGUCCUGGCUCCACCUCUCACUAGCUGUGUGGCCUUGGGCAACUUCCUUAACCUCACUCAAUAAGGCUGUUUCCUCAUUCGUAAAAUGGGGGUGACAAGAGUAUCUACCUCCUGUUGCUGUAGCGAGGAGUAAGCAUCAGAGGCUGCGGCGCCUGAAGCCUGGGUCACAGCAGACACCUGAUACAUGGCGGCUGUGACAGUUUGCAAGGCACAGAGAACAGCACCCACUUGGGGUAGAAAGGCUUCCCCUACCCUGGGCCCAUGUCUGACCCUGGGGACUCUCAACUGAACUCCUGGCUCCUUGCUGAGCUUUUGAGGGUUAGACCCAGCCAAGACAGCCCCCAGACCUGCCCCUUUCACUAGGCAACAGGUCACCUACUCCCUCAACCACACUUCUGAGGACUCCUGUGAGGCCCCAUUGCCCAGAGCACAGCUAUGCCCCGGGCCCUGGCUCACCCUCUGCCUGCCCUGUCCUUCCCCUGGCUGAUGGACUAAUUGCCUGUCAUGGGCGUCCAGCUCAAAGGCCACCUCCUCCUAGAAGCCAUUCUGGAUUCCCAUGGCAGAUGUGGCCAUCCCUCCCUGCACCCCUUAGCCAUCUGGCAGGAGAGUGUGGCACACCUGCUCAUCUUUGCCUGUGGGGCGCUCUUCCAGAGUGAGGCCUCACUGGGCAGUAUCAGUCCCUGGGUCACUGUUCCCCCAGUGCCUGGUUCAGGGUAGACUCUCUGUAAAGGUGAGUCAACCCCCACACCUGGAGGCAUCUCAGGGAGCAGAUGCCCAAUAUAGAUGAUCCCCCAUUCCCUGACAGUGGAGCCCUCUUUCCCUGCAGCCUACAUUGCAGAUGCCCAGGCUAGCGAGGGCCCUGGCCUCACCUCCUGGUGGCGGACCAUGCUGUCGACACGGGCCUUCUCCUUAUCCAGCUCCGUGCUGGCCCAGCAGACCUGCUGGCCAGCGCCCUCCAGCCGACCCACCAACAGCUGCACCUGCGCCUCCAACUGCUGCACCUGCUCCUCCAGCUGCUGCACCUGCCUCUCCGCUGCCGCCCUGCGCUCACCUUCCUCCUGCAGCUGCUGGGCCUUUGCCUCUGCAGCAUUAAGUGGACAUGGGAUGGGGUAGGGCAGGGGAGCGCUGUACUACCUCAGACCUAGGACGGGAGCUCACAUCCCAUCUCUGGGCCUCAGAGUCCUCAGCCACAAAAUGGGGCUCUAGACCCCACCUGAGGUGGGUUUGGAAAAUAGAAGGCGCUUUCUCGGUAGGAGGUGGCAACCCAGUUUGGUCAUCGCCAAUAGUGUGGUUGGUCAGGCCCACCCUCCUGUGGCUGGUUCCCUUCAACUUUGCCCUGGAUGCUCAGGGGACAGAGAUGGACGAUGCUCAUCCAGCCACACCCCUGGCUUGAGAUGUGGCAUGGGGGCCUAUGAUGGGGCUCCUUACCCACAGCCUGUGUGGACUCCCGCUGCUGUUUCAGUUCUCUCUCCAGGGUGGCCAUCUUUGUCUUUAGGUCACUUGUUUCUAUGGCAGCCAAGAGAGAGGCCCUUCAGAGGGUCCCAUGGACCUGGCCGGCGGCCUUCAUGCCCAGUGUGCCCCGUGGAGUGGAGGCAGCCCAUCGCCUGCAGAGGGGCCGCCUGCGGCCAUGGGAGGAGCUCUAGGGAGGCUGGUGGAAGCGGCUGGGCCCUUACCCACCCUGCUUCUCAUGGGCUGGCUGCCAUGUGUCUACACCUCUCUGGGCCUUGGUGUCGUCCAUGGAGGCAACUGUGAUGAGGCUCAGAAAGGGCAAAUCCCUCAGGCCUCCCAUCAGUGGGCACUGGCCAUCUUCUGGUGCCAGGAACUUUGUCUCUAAUGGCUUUUGCCACAACCAGAGAGGCUGCUCUGCUUGGCUGGAAGUGCCAGGGGAAUAACUCUCUGGAAGUAGCCCUCAAUGACUGACAGUGCAAGUGGAUACAUACCUCGGUUCCCUCACUGACCGAUGGACGAGUCUGGGCAAGCGUCCUAGCCCAGCUCCUGGUGGCCCCAGUGGGACUGAGAUCACAGUGUCACCACCGGAUGAACACCCCCUUCCUUGCUGCCCUCCCUUCCCUGCCUCUUGCCUGUGUCCCAGCCUGGGUUCUUCCACACAAACCACUUGCCCUGGAAGCCCUGUCUCACAAACAUCCAUGCAAAGGCUGUGGCAGAGCCCCUGGGCACCAGGCGUCUGGCCUCUGGGGCACAGACCUGUGAGCAGCUGCUGUUUGUCGUGCUCCCACUCAGACAGGCACUGCUCAUCCUCCUCCGCCUGUCGCCGCCGUGCCCCCUGCUCCUGUUUCAGCGCCUGCUCCAGCUUGCCCGCCUGCUUCCUCAGGCCAUCCUUCUGCCCUUCAGCCUCCUCCAGCUGGGCCCUGAGGGCCUCCACAUGCUUACUGAGGCGCGUCAGGUCUUUCCUCUGCUCUGCUGCCCAGCGGCCCACGGUGGCAGCCGGCAGUGGCCUGAGCCCCAUGCUGUCCUGCACCAGUUGCUGGAACUGGCCUAAGGACGAGGGCAGGUUCUGGCUCUGACACAGGCUGAUGACCACCUUGCCCACCUUCUGCAGGCUUCCCUGGACGCUGGCGCAUGCGUCACAGGGCACCAGGGCCGUCUCAAUGGUCUGGGAGUGGACACUCCUGGUGUUCUUGAAGGUCGUGGCUGGGAACUGCAGGGAGGCUCUGACAGGGAUGCUCUCUGGCUCUUGGCAGGUCUGGGGCAAGCCUAGCACUGGGGAGGAGGGCUUGAUUAACUUGGUAGUCAGAUAUUCAGGGCUCCUGGCUGGCUCGCCCUUGGUGGUGGGCUUGGAGGUGGGAGUCUCCCUUUGGUUUGCCCCUUUCUGUGUUCAGAAAAAGACAAGGGAAAGCAGGUGAGGGAGAGAGUAGAGAGGGAGGUGACUGGUUCCCUGGGGGAUGUUCUGUGACAGUGUGACAGCCUUGCCUGACACUCAGACCCUCAAAUGUUCUCUGACACCGACGUGAAUAAGAGAGAACUUUCUCCCUCUGUUACUCUGACUCAGCUUACUACAGCCAGGUCUCCUCUCUGCGGCCCGCACCCCAAGCUCCAGGCUUGAUCUGAUUGUAUGCAUGGUGUUGGGAAGGUGAUGGUGACGGUCACAGCUGCUGGUUACUGGGCUCUUGCUUACUGGACCUGCCUGCUCUUGUGUCACCAUAACCACUCUCAGUUUUAGUUUCCUUCCCAUCAUGGGAACAGUGGUUCUUCCCCAGUGGGUGGUUGUGUGGAUUACGGGAUAGCCCAUAACAAACAGGGGUCACAUGACCUCCGUUGUAUAGAUGAAGAAACUGCGGUUCAAAGUAGGCAAGAUUUUUCCAAAGUCCCACAGGGAUGUCAGAGCCAGGGAGCAAGGCAUGAUCCCCAAGGCCUGCGUUCUUAACCGCCACACUGUGUGGGGCUUGAUUGGGAGGGCGGUGGGAGCCAGUAAAGGCUGUGGUGCACAUAGUGGUAGGCUAGGAAGCCAGAGCUGGGGCGAGGUGUGAAGGCCACCACAGUGGGGAGAUAGAGGCUGAGGCUGACCCACCUGAGACAGAGGCUGGGACCCACCUGGGGGAGUGGCUGCUGGUGGAGCGUGCCCAGCCUCAGCAGGCUGUCCCAGAAGCGCCGCACCGUGAGCCCCACGGACAUGCAGGGCCCCGCAGCCUGUGCAGGGGGCAUCAUCUGCUCUGAGCCAAGGUUCUCCAAGUAGCUCAUACAGCUUUGAAGCAGCAGCAGGAGCCUGCGGGCAGAGAUGCUAGGUUGCUGGGGCCCAGGCUGGUGCUAACAUACCCUCAGACCAUACAACCGCAGCUCUGGCUCUGGGGAACUGGCCCAGGCAUCAAGAGCUUGGAGAGUCUCAGAAUAUGCUCUGCUGGGCCAGCUUCAAACCUAACCCAGGGGCUACUUCCUCAGGGAAGCCCUCCCUGGCCACAGCCUCAGCUUGGGAGCCUCUUCUGUGUCUCCUGGGUGGCACUUCUGCCUGGCUCUUCUCCACUGGACCAGGGAGCUCUGUGAAGCCAGGCCUGGCCUUGCCUCAGUUGUAUCCUGAGUCCUUGAAAAGUUCUGGGUGAAUGGCUGCCUUAUAUCCAGUGGCCCGGAGCCUCCACUUGAUAGAUGACAGAGCUGAGACCCAGAGAGGGGAAGAGCUUGCCCACAGACACACAUUGAUAGGGCAGAGCAGGGAGUGUGCACAGUCUCCUGAGGCUAGUCAGGGGCUUCUGCAGGGUGAGCUGCUUCUGUGACAGUGGAGACCUGUGUCAAGACAGCUAGGUCUCUGUCCUAACCUCCAAGUUUAAAACUACAGUCAGGCAUGAAUUGUAAGAAAAAGGAGUAUUAUAAUAAAAAGCUAAGUUUGCAUUUG